UGAAGCCAAGGAACAACAUGCAAUCAAUUAAAAGGGAUGCCGUACGAACAUGUCAUCUGUUUACAUUGUACAAAAAAUAUACAAAUUAAAAAAACAUACCUUAGCUACUAUAAGAGCAGACUGAAUUAGCCUACAAUUGGAUCAACCUGUAUAAGAGUAAGAUUAAAAUAAACUCCUUAAGGUUAGUAGUAGGACAAAUAGGGUCACCUUGUAAGGUUCAUACAAUAAGUAAUCCAUAAACAACAGAGCACAAACACUAUGAGCAUGACUACUAUUGUGCAAAAAUGUAACAAAAAAAAAAAAGUAUCACAAUGAACAUGUCUAUAUAGAUCGUUCGACGAACUGGCAUGUAAAUAAAAAUCUCGUGCAAAGACAACGACUAUUAAGUUACAAUUUUAUGUGAGAAAAACUCAUUGUACCUUGGCAGCAUCGAAAAUCUUUUGGACAGCGGCAGAGAUUUCCGGUCCGAUACCAUCCCCAGGAAUCAGAGUACAUUUGUGAACUUUACUGCUGUAGAGACGGACACUGCCAAUUUUCGGAACCUGUUAAUAAAAUGUUCGUAUAAUUCACGGUUAUCAAAAUGGACAUGGCAUUGAUAACAUUUUAUUUCAUAAAAUAGGCUGGCAGAAACAUAGAAAUGUAUCGAUAUUACCAAAUCUAAGAGGAAAAACGUAUAAAAACUGGGUUAUGUGGAAGACAUGGAUUGUCGCAAGGAUUUCUCAAUAUGUUCAUAACUUACUGCGGUUCGUAUCCACUGGGCUGCCAUUAUUUUAAAGAAUUUUGCAAGAAAAAAAAUGAACCUCCACCACCUAAAGUUACGUACGUCAGAGGAAUACCAAAAACCGAGGUGAGAAAAACGGUCUUCGAUCGUGAUUGGUUCCUGCGAGACAAUGUCUUCUGCUAUUCAGAAACCGGAAGGUAGCAAACACAUGUAUAGAAGAGCGAGUGGAUCUAUAUUUACAGAUAUUUGUACAAUUAUAAAAAAAUUUGAAAAUAAAAAUUUAAUUUUAGAUUAACAA